UACGAAAGGGGCUAUCGUUGUUCGGAAUUACUGGGCGUAAAGCGCACGUAGGCGGCCAUGUAAGUUGGGGGUGAAAUCCCGGGGCUCAACCCCGGAACUGCCUUCAAAACUACAUAGCUAGGGGAUGUGAGAGGAUAGUGGAAUUCCGAGUGUAGAGGUGAAAUUCGUAGAUAUUCGGAAGAACACCGGUGGCGAAGGCGACUGUCUGGCACAUUUCUGACGCUGAGGUGCGAAAUCGUGGGGAGCAAACAGG
rnacentral:rRNA from 1 species